rnacentral:antisense_RNA from 2 species
CUUCACCGAGCCCAGCAGCAGCGGCGUCUCGCGCUCGCGGCCGUACGUGGCCAGCAACGCCUGUGCCUC